AUUGAACGCUGGCGGCAGGCCUAACACAUGCAAGUCGAGCGAGCGGCGGACGGGUGAGUAAUGUCUGGGAAACUGCCUGAUGGAGGGGGAUAACUACUGGAAACGGUAGCUAAUACCGCAUACCAUCGGAUGUACCCAGAUGGGAUUAGCUAGUGGGUGGGGUAACGGCUCACCAAGGCAACGAUCCCUAGCUGGUUUGAGAGGAUGACCAGCCACACUGGGACUGAGACACGGCCCAGACUCCUACGGGAGGCAGCAGUGGGGAAUUUUGGACAAUGGGCGAAACCCUGAAGCAGCCAUGCCGCGUGUGUGAAGAAGGCCUUCGGGUUGUAAAGCACUUUUAGCGGGGAGGCGUUAUCUGCAGAAGAAGCACCGGCUAACUCCGUGCCAGCAGCCGCGGUAAUUC
rnacentral:rRNA from 1 species